rnacentral:rRNA from 1 species
GACGACGCUGGCGGCGUGCCUAACACAUGCAAGUCGAACGGAGUUUAAUUAGAAUGAGGCUUCGGCCAAUUUCUUUUUAAACUUAGUGGCGGACGGGUGAGUAACGCGUGAGUAACCUGCCGUUCAGAGGGGGAUAACGUUCCGAAAGGAACGCUAAUACCGCAUAACGUAUUUUUACCGCAUGAUAGAAAUACCAAAGAUUUAUCGCUGAAAGAUGGACUCGCGUCUGAUUAGCUAGUUGGAGGGGUAACGGCCCACCAAGGCGACGAUCAGUAGCCGAACUGAGAGGUUGAUCGGCCACAUUGGGACUGAGACACGGCCCAGACUCCUACGGGAGGCAGCAGUAGGGAAUAUUGCACAAUGGAGGAAACUCUGAUGCAGCCAUGCCGCGUGUGUGAAGAAGGCCUUCGGGUUGUAAAGCACUUUCAGAGGGGAGGAGAAUGACGUUACCCUCAGAAGAAGCACCGGCUAACUCCGUG